UACGAAGGGGGCUAGCGUUGCUCGGAAUCACUGGGCGUAAAGCGCACGUAGGCGGAUUGCUAAGUCAGGGGUGAAAUCCUGGAGCUCAACUCCAGAACUGCCUUUGAUACUGGUGAUCUUGAGUCCGGGAGAGGAUGGUGGAACUCCCAGUGUAGAGGUGAAAUUCGUAGAUAUUGGGAAGAACACCCGUGGCGAAGGCGGCCAUCUGGACCGGUACUGACGCUAAGGCGCGACAGCGUGGGGAGCAAACAGG
rnacentral:rRNA from 1 species